rnacentral:rRNA from 1 species
AGUGAACGCUGGCGGUAGGCCUAACACAUGCAAGUCGAACGGCAGCACAGUAAGAGCUUGCUCUUACGGGUGGCGAGUGGCGGACGGGUGAGGAAUACAUCGGAAUCUACUUUUUCGUGGGGGAUAACGUAGGGAAACUUACGCUAAUACCGCAUACGACCUACGGGUGAAAGCAGGGGAACUUCGGACCUUGCGCGAUUGAAUGAGCCGAUGUCGGAGUAGCUAGUUGGCGGGGUAAAGGCCCACCAAGGGGACGAUCCGUAGCUGGUCUGAGAGGAUGAUCAGCCACACUGGAACUGAGACACGGUCCAGACUCCUACGGGAGGCAGCAGUGGGGAAUAUUGGACAAUGGGCGCAAGCCUGAUCCAGCCAUACCGCGUGGGUGAAGAAGGCCUUCGGGUUGUAAAGCCCUUUUGUUGGGAAAGAAAAGCAGCAGGUUAAUACCCCGCUGUUCUGACGGUACCCAAAGAAUAAGCACCGGCUAACUUCGUG